rnacentral:rRNA from 1 species
CCCUAGUAACUGCGAGUGAAGCGGGAAAAGCUCAAAUUUAAAAUCUGGCAGUCUUUGGCUGUCCGAGUUGUAAUCUAGAGAAGUGUUACCCGCGCUGGACCGUGUACAAGUCUCCUGGAAUGGAGCGUCAUAGAGGGUGAGAAUCCCGUCUUUGACAUGGACUACCAGUGCUUUUGUGGUGCGCUCUCAAAGAGUCGAGUUGUUUGGGAAUGCAGCUCAAAAUGGGUGGUAAAUUCCAUCUAAAGCUAAAUAUUGGCGAGAGACCGAUAGCGAACAAGUACCGUGAGGGAAAGAUGAAAAGAACUUUGGAAAGAGAGUUAAACAGUACGUGAAAUUGCUGAAAGGGAAACGCUUGAAGUCAGUCGCGUCGACCAGGAAUCAACCUUGCUCUUUUGCUGGGCGUACUUCCUGUUUGACGGGUCAGCAUCAAUUUUGACCGAUGGAUAAAGGUCAAGGGAAUGUGGCAUCUUCGGAUGUGUUAUAGCCCUUGGUUGUAUACAUCGGUUGGGAUUGAGGAACUCAGCACGCCGCAAGGCCGGGUUUUUAACCACGUUCGUGCUUAGGAUGCUGGCAUAAUGGCUUUAAUCGACCCGUCUUGAAACACGGACCAAGGAGUCUAACAUGCCUGCGAGUGUUUGGGUGGAAAACCCGAGCGCGUAAUGAAAGUGAAAGUUGAGAUCCCUGUCGUGGGGAGCAUCGACGCCCGGACCAGACCUUCUGUGACGGCUCCGCGGUAGAGCAUGUAUGUUGGGACCCGAAAGAUGGUGAACUAUGCCUGAAUAGGGUGAAGCCAGAGGAAACUCUGGUGGAGGCUCGUAGCGAUUCUGACGUGCAAAUCGAUCGUCAAAUUUGGGUAUAGGGGCGAAAGACUAAUCGAACCAUCUAGUAGCUGGUUCCUGCCG